GAUGAACGCUGGCGGCGUGCCUAAUACAUGCAAGUCGAGCGAGCGGCGGACGGGUGAGUAAUGUCUGGGAAACUGCCUGAUGGAGGGGGAUAACUAAUGGAAACGGUAGCUAAUACCGCAUACCAUCAGAUGUGCCCAGAUGGGAUUAGCUAGUAGGUGGGGUAACGGAUCACCUAGGCGACGAUCCCUAGCUGGUCUGAAAGGAUGACCCGCCACAUUGGAACGGGGACACGGUCCAGACUCCUACGGUAGGCAGCAGUGGGGAAUAUUGCCCAAUGGGCGCAAGCCUGAUGCAGCCAUGCCGCGUGUAUGAAGAAGGCCUUCGGGUUGUAAAGUACUUUCAGCGGGGAGGCGUUACCCGCAGAAGAAGCACCGGCUAACUCCGUGCCAGCAGCCGCGGUAAUUC
rnacentral:rRNA from 1 species